rnacentral:lncRNA from 10 species
GCUCUCUGGACUUUAAAACUCAGCAUCUUCUGAACCAGAGGCAUUUCUGAUUAGCCCUUCCCUACCUAUUUUCCUAGUAUCACUCUUUAAUCAGCUUGGGGAGGUGGCAGCAUUUCAUGGCCUCCGUAGUAACUCACAAUGCUUCCUGGGGUAUUUAAAUUCUACUCUCUCAUCAGCACUGAGCACCUACUUUGGGCCCUUUCCCGUGCUAGCCAUUUGGGGGAAAUAUAGGUGAAGAGUGGCUGGGGUUUGAACCUUUAGGAUUUCACAGCCAUGCUGGAUGGGAUAAAACCAGCUCACAUGGAGAAUCAGAGAAUGGGACAGUGCCACAAAACAGUCUACUGAGGCACAAGUUCUGAGUGCCUGGGAAGUGGUAGAGAGACCCCAGAGAGGGCUGCUGCAGUCUGGAACAGCUUCCUAGCAAGCUGUACCAAACAGGGCCUUGAAGGAUGAGAAAGAUCUGGCUGAGAUGAUACCCGACCCUCUAGGGAAAUUCUUAAAGUAACUUCUAGGAAAUGUCAUUGCUCCUUAAAAAAAAAAAAAAAAAAAAAAAAGCAGGUUCUAAUUCAAAUUCCGCUGCACUACUGAAGUAGUGCAGGACUUAUCAGAACCUUUAAAAUGCUAAUGGCAAUUUCAAAUACUCAGGGACAGGGCAUAGGAUGAAGUGUUCCUUGACUUUUAUGGCCGUAGAAUCUUUUUCUCAUGGAACAUCGUUUAGAACUGUGGGAGAUGCUAGGCUGGGGUUUCUAUGGGAAAAGUACAGCAGUGAUAGAAGAUGGCAUAAUUAGGGUACACUUAGGUGCUUUGUAGCAUUGGCUGAAAAGGAAGCAGACCGGGUGGGCGUGGGGGAGUCUCAACUUGGUUCCAGGAGCCAGGCCAGCUUGAUGCGUUUUUUUUUUUUCUAAUGGUGGGAGGGCAGGCCAAUAGUUGGAGAAACUAGAGGCCUGACAGUCGGUGAUGGAAGAGAUGUCUACUAAGCACGGUUGUCAGAUCUUUUGCGGAGAGAUGCGGGUGUGCGUGUGUCUGUCAGAGUGUAACAGGAUCCAGCCCUCUGGGAAGGGGCUGACCAGAACCAGGCAGGGGGUUUCUGUCUAGGACAAGUAGGGUCCAUUUUCAGGGGAGCUGAAAUAUUUGCAGGGGGUGCUCUGAGACCCACAGCCAAUAAAUAGGGAAGCAACAUGCUUUUGGGCAGGGUCCAUGUGGUUAGGGUUGAUUUUGAUGGGGCUGGGGGGCUUAGAGUUAGACCCCCUGCCCUGGUCAGGCCCCACUCCCUGGCUGGUGGGGGCGGGAGGCCUCUGAAGCUGCAGCUGGAGGGGCCGGGGCAGUGUUGCAUGGUGUGAUUAACCUACUAACCCAGGGCUCAGCCGGGACGCUGUGGCGUGUGACGAGGUGCCUGGCCUUCUGCCAACCAACUAACCCACUAACCAGGCCCGAGCAUGCCCUACUAACCACCCCCCCGCAGCCAGAUCCUACUAACUGUGCAGCUCAUGGGCCUUUCAAGGGGCUGGGAUAUGGGGGCAGCCAAGGCUCCAGAAGGCUCUGCCUAUGGGCUGGGAUCUUUGUGCAGACCCACGUUCCAGGACAGAGAAUGCAAAUAAGACUCACCAACUCUGCCACUUCCUGUUGAGUGAGUUUGAGUAAGUCACCUCACUUCUCUCAACCUCAGUUUCCUCAGUGGUAGAAUGCGAGUUCUGAUACCUUACAGGUUGCAGUGAGGAUUCCCGUCAAUAUAAGGGUCUCAGCACAUGGCAGACACCUAAAAAAAAAAAAAGUAUGAGGAUGGAGGAAGGCCCCUCAAACCUGGUUGAACACGUCUGCUGCCUAGGCCCUGGCCUCUCUGGGUGUUCUGCACACAGAUCCUUCUGCCUGGGGCAAGACACUUGGCUUUGAAUCCAUGUCACUUCCCCACAUUCUUCCUCCGUCUCAGCUUUCUUUUCUGUAGGCAGCUCUUUUGUUCGAUUACUAACCCGUCUAACCCCUGGGGUGCCUCAACUGCACCCCGAUCAUCCCUUAACAAACUAACGGACCUGCGUGCGUUCUUCCUUUUCUCUUAGCGACUCCUGUGUGUGUCUGCUGAGGUGCCCUGUCCGCUGGUGCUGUGCUCUGACUUACUAACCCAGCCCCUACUAACCCUGUUUUCUCUUCUUACUAACCCCAGCCCUGCCGAGCUCUGGGCUCCCCCCGGGGGCUGGUCCCCCUCCUUUUGGCAAGCAGAUGACCUGGGGCUACUGGCCCUGUAGACAGAUGUCCCACUUUGCUGCCCCAUAUUGGCUGUAAGAUCAGAGUCCACUGGGCCAGGUCUAAGGCAGGGGAUGGCCCUAUUAACAAGACUCAGAGGAGGAAGAGGUGGUCCUGUGGAUGUGGGAGGCUGGACUCUGAGUAUGACAUCUCUCCUAUGUGCAGAAGUCUGGUUGCCACUGGGAGUAGGUGGGACCAGGGAAAUCUCUGGGACGUGAGUGUGGAGGCCUGUUGGUCUAGACUCUAGACUGUGGAGCUCUGAGCUUUUGUGUCCUCUGGAAGGAAGCUGGGGAAGAAUCCUCUCCAUUGUUAAGUGACGGGGAUAGAAGCUGUCCUGCACAGGAAGUCACGAGGGGGGCGUAUCCCACGAGGAAGGCAGGAGGGGGCGUGCCCCUCACCGGAAAUUAGCAGAGGGGCGUGUCCCACACCGGAAGUCAGAAAGCGGAGCCUUUCUUACACCGGAAGUCAAUGAAGCGGGUCUUUCCUACGCUAAAAACCACUGAGUGGAGUAUUUAGUACACAGGAAGUCGGCCAGAGAAACAUUUCUCAUAUUUGAAGGCCGGAAAGAGGGACAUUUCUGACACCGGAAGUCAGUGAGAGGACUCUUUCCCACACAGGAAGUCAGCUAGAGAGCCGUCUCCCCUCUCUGGAGCCGAGAGAGGCCGGUUUCCCCCACCACUCUCAGGGUAAAGAAGGAAAUGAGAAAUUGCAAGACAGAGUAUUUCUUAGGCAAUGGCUGAGAAUGGCAACUCACCACAUGCCUUUGAAUAAGACGUGAUUAUUAUUAACCCAUAUUCUAUCAAAGAAGAAACUGAGGCUCAGAGAGGCAACUUACUUGCCAAAGGUCACUCUGCUGGUAGCCCACCUGGGAGGAAUUUUCCAGAGAUCACUGUCUGAUGACCCUGUCUUGGAAUUGGAGCCAUGCAAGUUACACUGACCACGUUUGGGUUGGGAUAUUGAGGAGGUUAUGGUUAAAAGCAUACGAUGGGAGAUCAUAUUGUACUUGCGAGUGAGACCCGGCUGGAGGAAUGUUUUAAUUCUUCGGAAAUACCAAGUGGUCUCUACAGAACACUGAAGAUUCUGCUCUCAGGGUGUUGAUUGACGUCUGGAAGGCAGAGACUCGUGGAUUAGCAAGCAUGUGUAAGAAAGUGCUCUGGAUGCCACAGGGUGGUAAUUUGUGCAUGGAAAAUGGCUGGGGUGAAGAGGAGACUAGGGUCUCACAUGAGUACUUCACAAUGGGGAAACUGAACUGGAACUCUACUGACAACGCAGUUGGGAGUUCAAACUUAAUAACCUUCCAGAGUUGGUAUCAAAUUCAGACGCUGACGCUCCUUGGAGAGGUUCUUUGCUGCAAGAGGAUGGAAAGGAUCACUGUGAUUUUGUUUUUCUCCUGCUGCUCUGUCUGGAAGCCAUGUGAGGAGGACAUCUGAGCAGCCCUGUGGAGAGGCCCCCAGCCAACAGCCAGCAUGAACUUGCUGGGCAUGUGAGUGCACCACCUUGAAAGUAGAGCCUCAACCCCUGGUCAAGCCAUCAGGGAGAGCUCAAGCUGGCCUGUUGGAAGAUGACAGGCCAUAUGCAACAGACGUGAAGUGUCCCAGCUGAUCCCCUUCCAGAACACCCACCUUCCAGAUGACCACAGAUGCAAGGGUGCCAAGCAAGGAGGACCAGACGGCUAACGCUUAUAUCCUGACCUCCCGAUGGCUUGCAGGUAAGUGUUUUUAAACGCAGGGGUAAAUGUCGGGAGAAGCUAUAGGCAAGAUUGUAAAUCCAUACAUGGAGGUUACACCUUGGUCUUGGCCAAAAAGGGCAGGAUACCUUGAAGCAGAGGCUUACAGGUCAUAGGUAGAUUCAAAGACUAUCUGAUUUGUAACUGGUUAAGGAAGAGAAGCUUUGUUUAAAAUUUGGGGUCAGCAGAGAAGAACAUUAACUGGCUUUGGGGUUUGACUCUCUCCAGACUCCUCAGGAAGAAAUUUAGAACAAAAAAUGGGGGUCAGAGUUCAGCCAUCAGCUCCCCCUUAUCUGAGGUUUAGGUGACAGCAGAGCUGUUCAGUGGGGGUCAUUGGUGGGGGUUCAGGGUUCUGGAAAACAACUCAGGGGCAUAUGUUAAGAUGUUACUUUUAGUUUCUAUAGGGGAAUCAAACAUCUGACUAACUUCCUUGGUUCCUGUCUUAGCCUUGUUACUAUUACCCUCUUGCUUAUCAA